GACGAACGCUGGCGGCGUGCUUAACACAUGCAAGUCGAGCGGUAAGGCCCUUUCGGGGGUACACGAGCGGCGAACGGGUGAGUAACACGUGGGUGACCUGCCCUCAGCUCUGGGAUAAGCCUGGGAAACCGGGUCUAAUACUGGAUAUGACUCCAUGACGCAUGUUGUGGGGUGGAAAGCCUUGUGCGGCUGAGGAUGGGGCCCGCGGCCUAUCAGCUUGUUGGUGGGGNGAUGGCCUACCAAGGCGACGACGGGUAGCCGGCCUGAGAGGGCGACCGGCCACACUGGGACUGAGACACGGCCCAGACUCCUACGGGAGGCAGCAGUGGGGAAUCUUGCGCAAUGGGCGAAAGCCUGACGCAGCGACGCCGCGUGAGGGAUGACGGCCUGGUGUAACGUCUUCUA
rnacentral:rRNA from 1 species